rnacentral:rRNA from 1 species
CUUGACUAACCAUAGGAGGUCCAGCCUGCCCAGUGACUCUGUUCAACGGCCGCGGUAUCCUAACCGUGCGAAGGUAGCGUAAUCACUUGUUCUUUAAAUGAGGACUAGUAUGAAUGGCACCACGAGGGCUACACUGUCUCCUUUUUUUAAUCAGUGAACUUAAUCUUCCCGUGAAGAAGCGGGAAUAAACCUAUAAGACGAGAAGACCCUAUGGAGCUUAAAACAACAUAGCACUUGCCACAUAACACAAAAAUUUCUGAAUACCCUAAUUUUUCAAAGCAAUAUGACUAUAAGUUUUUGGUUGGGGUGACCGCGGAGCAUAACACAACCUCCACGUUGAACGAACUUUAUUCUAAGCCGCGAACCACUUUCCUAAGCAUCAAUACAUUGACAUUAAUUGACCCAAUAUAUUUGACCAACGAAC